AUUGAACGCUGGCGGCAUGCCUUACACAUGCAAGUCGAGCGGCAGCACGGGAGCAAUCCUGGUGGCGAGUGGCGAACGGGUGAGUAGUACAUCGGAACGUGCCUAGUAGUGGGGGAUAGCCCGGCGAAAGCCGGAUUAAUACCGCAUACGACCUGAGGGUGAAAGCGGGGGAUCGCAAGACCUCGGGCUAUCAGAGCGGCCGAUGCAAGAUUAGGUAGUUGGUGGGGUAAAAGCCUACCAAGCCGACGAUCUGUAGCUGGUCUGAGAGGACGACCAGCCACACUGGGACUGAGACACGGCCCAGACUCCUACGGGAGGCAGCAGUGGGAAUUUUGGACAAUGGGCGCAAGCCUGAUCCAGCCAUGCCGCGUGCAGGAAGAAGGCCUUCGGGUUGUAAACUGCUUUUGUCAGGGAAGAAAAGUUCUGGGCUAAUACCCCGGAGCGAUGACGGUACCUGAAGAAUAAGCACCGGCUAACUACGUGCCAGCCGCCGCCGUAA
rnacentral:rRNA from 1 species